rnacentral:rRNA from 1 species
GAUGAACGCUGGCGGCGUGCCUAAUACAUGCAAGUCGAGCGAACAGACGAGGAGCUUGCUCCUCUGACGUUAGCGGCGGACGGGUGAGUAACACGUGGAUAACCUACCUAUAAGACUGGGAUAACUUCGGGAAACCGGAGCUAAUACCGGAUAAUAUAUUGAACCGCAUGGUUCAAUAGUGAAAGACGGUUUUGCUGUCACUUAUAGAUGGAUCCGCGCCGCAUUAGCUAGUUGGUAAGGUAACGGCUUACCAAGGCAACGAUGCGUAGCCGACCUGAGAGGGUGAUCGGCCACACUGGAACUGAGAAACGGUCCAGACUCCUACGGGAGGCAACAGGAGGGAAUCUUCCGCAAUGGGGGAAAGCUUGACGGAGCAACGCCGCGUGAGUGAUGAAGGGCUUCGGAUCGUAAAACUCUGUUAUUAGGGAAGAACAAAUGUGUAAGUAACUAUGCACGUCUUGACGGUACCUAAUCAGAAAGCCACGGCUAACUACGUG